GUAUCAAUACCGACAUAGAAUUAGGUAUUCUUAGCAUGACAUAGCAUAUUUAGUAAUUUAAUCAUGGAAUAUUCGAAUAAAUAACCUCAAACGUCUCAAAUCACAGUCCCCUGGUACGUCCCUUUUCCAGAAUUACACAUAUUGUUACAAAUGUUUAUUAUAUUGCUGUUGAUAUUUGAAUAAAAAAUAUCCAAAUACAUUAACAAUAACAGUUAGCAUCUUAAUACAUCACAAACAAUGUUUACAAUAUGAUUUUAAUCAAAAUAUCCUUCUGAGAAUGCUGUCCUCAAAUUAUUAAAACAUUCCCCUGUUAAAAUUUUAAAACCGGUUUAAAGUCAUAUUUAGUUUUGGCACAAAGCACUUAGAUCGCAAAACGGAACGCAAUAGGUGUUAAGGUUGUUCAGUUGUGUAGCUAGUGGGCAGCCGCUAUUUUGUUUAAUACUACUACUGCGUCAUCUGGUGAACCACGCGUCUCGGCCGUCAGUGAAAACAUUCCCCUGUAGGUAUUAUCUCAAAAUUUCACCGAAAAAGAAGCUACGCGAAACAUGAGAAGAAUUUCUAGAAAAAAAACGUAUAGCUGUGCAAUUAUGAUAUCAUCGACUUGAAACAUUACCCUAAAAGAAAAAUUGAAAAAAAGAAGAAAAAAGAAAAAC